rnacentral:lncRNA from 1 species
GACCAAUAAGCGCUGGUAGAGGAGGGACGGCGAUCACCUCAGCUGCUCAGGAUUGGCUGAGUCCACAGGCAGCCUGACCAAUAGCGGCGGUGGGGACCUGUCGGGAACUGAAUCUCAGCGGCGUGAGGGGCAGCGAGAGCCAGGAGGUGCUCCCCUGAGGGCCCGGCACGCUUCCCCGGCUCCUCGCGAGCUCCGGGCUGGGUACGCGUGGCGGUGGUAGGGGAGGGAGGGCUGAGCGCGGCGCUGUGCGGCCCGCACCGCUUGGCGGCCUCCGUGUCUCCCCUGGGGCCGCCGUACCGGUCUGACCUCACAGCUUACGGAUUCAAUAAAGUUUUCUGACUCGAA